GUCCCGGUAGUUCAAUGGACAGAACAAAUCUCUCCUAAAGAUUAGAUACAGGUUCGAUUCCUGUUCGGGGCACCA
rnacentral:tRNA from 1 species